ACACCUAGAAAUAUUCAAGGGCGAGGAU
rnacentral:sRNA from 1 species